rnacentral:rRNA from 1 species
UACGAAGGGGGCUAGCGUUGUUCGGAAUUACUGGACGUAAAGCGCACGUAGGCGGAUUGUUAAGUUAGGGGUGAAAUCCCUCGGCUCAACCGAGGAACUGCCUUGGAAACUGUCUGGCUUGAGGCCGGGAGAGGGUAGUGGAAUUCCCAGUGUAGCGGUGAAAUGCGUAGAUACUGGGAGGAACACCGGUGGCGAAGGCGGCUACCUGGACCGGUUCUGACGCUGAGGCGCGAAAGCGUGGGUAGCAAACAGG